rnacentral:tRNA from 2 species
GGCCCGCUAGCUCAAUGGUAGAGCAAUUGACUCUUAAUCAAUAGGUUCUCGGUUCGAGCCCGAGGCGGGUCACCA